AAAGAUAACAUUGAUACUCCUAUAUAUCUUCCAUCCACAUUAAUCAUUAUAACUCAAUACAUCAGUACAUGUCUGCUGACAAUCAGAUCUGAUUAAAACUGGUUCAAGUCCAAAGAGAAAUUUAGAUCUAACAAUAAUGGAGAAAUUGCAAGUCUGAAAAACUAGAUUCUAAAUUUACAAAAUCUCAAAUUUUAUAAAGAUAAAAAUCCAAAAAACUCUCACAAGAAAAAAAAAUCCAGAAGAGAAUAAAACUCUCGCUAGAAUAAUCUAGGAGAGUAGAAACUCUCACUAGGAGAUACUAAGAAAGAAGAAUCUCUCAUUAAGAAAUCCUAGAAGAAAAUUUAAUCAAAUUAGAGAAACUAAAAACUAUAAAGAGUACUUCCUCCCUCCCAUAGGGAAAGACCAAAUUUGGUCUCUCUCCCAAGGGAGAGAUGAAGAAGAUAUUGAGUGCAAUUGAUUAAGGAAACAAAAUUCUACCCCAAUUGAAUUGUUCAAUCGUGGGGAACAUUUGUUUUCUUUCAUUCUUCAUCCACUCUAGGACCAGUGGUUCUCUAACCUCACAUACUUAGAAUUUGAUUCCUCACUUUCAAAAAUUCCCAAGAUUUCCUGUAAAAGAAGAUCCCCACAAAUUCCUCAACUCAAGAAAAAAAAGGCUUUGAUACCUUAUCUUCUUCACCGUGCCG
rnacentral:lncRNA from 1 species